UACGUAGGGUGCGAGCGUUAAUCGGAAUUACUGGGCGUAAAGCGUGCGCAGGCGGUCCGCUAAGACCGAUGUGAAAUCCCCGGGCUUAACCUGGGAACUGCAUUGGUGACUGGCGGGCUGGAGUAUGGCAGAGGGGGGUAGAAUUCCACGUGUAGCAGUGAAAUGCGUAGAGAUGUGGAGGAAUACCGAUGGCGAAGGCAGCCCCCUGGCCAAUACUGACGCUCAUGCACGAAAGCGUGGGAGCAAACAGG
rnacentral:rRNA from 1 species